rnacentral:rRNA from 1 species
AUGAACGCUAGCUACAGGCUUAACACAUGCAAGUCGAGGGGCAGCAUGAACUUAGCUUGCUAAGUUUGAUGGCGACCGGCGCACGGGUGAGUAACACGUAUCCAACCUGCCGAUGACUCGGGGAUAGCCUUUCGAAAGAAAGAUUAAUACCCGAUGGCAUAAUUCUUCCGCAUGGUAGAAUUAUUAAAGAAUUUCGGUCAUCGAUGGGGAUGCGUUCCAUUAGGUUGUUGGCGGGGUAACGGCCCACCAAGCCUUCGAUGGAUAGGGGUUCUGAGAGGAAGGUCCCCCACAUUGGAACUGAGACACGGUCCAAACUCCUACGGGAGGCAGCAGUGAGGAAUAUUGGUCAAUGGACGAGAGUCUGAACCAGCCAAGUAGCGUGAAGGAUGACUGCCCUAUGGGUUGUAAACUUCUUUUAUACGGGAAUAAAGUGAGGCACGUGUGCCUUUUUGUAUGUACCGUAUGAAUAAGGAUCGGCUAACUCCGUGCCAGCAGCCGCGGUAAUACGGAGGAUCCGAGCGUUAUCCGGAUUUAUUGGGUUUAAAGGGAGCGUAGGCGGACGCUUAAGUCAGUUGUGAAAGUUUGCGGCUCAACCGUAAAAUUGCAGUUGAUACUGGGUGUCUUGAGUACAGUAGAGGCAGGCGGAAUUCGUGGUGUAGCGGUGAAAUGCUUAGAUAUCACGAAGAACUCCGAUUGCGAAGGCAGCUUGCUGGACUGUAACUGACGCUGAUGCUCGAAAGUGUGGGUAUCAAACAGGAUUAGAUACCCUGGUAGUCCACACAGUAAACGAUGAAUACUCGCUGUUUGCGAUAUACAGUAAGCGGCCAAGCGAAAGCGUUAAGUAUUCCACCUGGGGAGUACGUUCGCAAGAAUGAAACUCAAAGGAAUUGACGGGGGCCCGCACAAGCAGUGGAGUAUGUGGUUUAAUUCGACGCAACGCGAAGAACCUUACCAGGGCUUGACAUAUACAGGAGUAUAUAAGAGAUUAUAUAGCUCUUCGGAGUCUGUAUACAGGUGGUGCAUGGUUGUCGUCAGCUCGUGCCGUGAGGUGUCGGCUUAAGUGCCAUAACGAGCGCAACCCUUAUCGAUAGUUACCAUCAGGUUAUGCUGGGGACUCUGUCGAGACUGCCGUCGUAAGAUGUGAGGAAGGUGGGGAUGACGUCAAAUCAGCACGGCCCUUACGUCCGGGGCUACACACGUGUUACAAUGGGGGGUACAGAAGGCAGCUACACGGCGACGUGAUGCUAAUCCCGAAAGCCUCUCUCAGUUCGGAUUGGAGUCUGCAACCCGACUCCAUGAAGCUGGAUUCGCUAGUAAUCGCGCAUCAGCCACGGCGCGGUGAAUACGUUCCCGGGCCUUGUACACACCGCCCGUCAAGCCAUGAAAGCCGGGGGUACCUGAAGUGCGUAACCGCAAGGAGCGCCCUAGGGUAAAACUGGUGAUUGGGGCU